GUGCAGGCUUCAGCAGCACAUACACUAAAAUUGGAACAAUACAGAGAUUAUCAGAAUGGCCCCUACUCAGAGAUGACAUGCAAAUUGGUAGGGCAUAGUACAUCCAC
ensembl:snRNA U6 U6 spliceosomal RNA